rnacentral:rRNA from 1 species
AACGAACGCUGGCGGCAGGCCUAACACAUGCAAGUCGAACGCUCCGCAAGGGGAGUGGCAGACGGGUGAGUAACACGUGGGAAUCUUCCUAUUGGUAUGGAAUAGCUCAGGGAAACUUGGGUAAUACCGUAUAAGCCCGAGAGGGGAAAGAUUUAUCGCCAAUAGAUGAGCCCGCGUCUGAUUAGCUAGUUGGUGAGGUAAUGGCUCACCAAGGCGACGAUCAGUAGCUGGUCUGAGAGGAUGAUCAGCCACACUGGGACUGAGACACGGCCCAGACUCCUACGGGAGGCAGCAGUGGGGAAUAUUGGACAAUGGGCGCAAGCCUGAUCCAGCCAUGCCGCGUGAGUGACGAAGGUCUUCGGAUUGUAAAGCUCUUUUGGCGGGGACGAUAAUGACGGUACCCGCAGAAUAAGCCCCGGCUAACUUCGUGCCAGCAGCCGCGGUAAUGUGACUACUG